UUGAAGAGCUUGGCGUGAAGGUAAAUAAAAACAUGUUGUGACGUAAUGCGGAAGUGAUAUCGGUUGCUUGAAAAAUGGAUUUUUGUCAAAUUACAUUGAACAGGUUAUUGUGAGAUAGUCUGAUUACUUUGGAGCUGCCAGAUUGUGUAUGAAAUCCUAAAAAAAGUAUUUCAACAACUUUUUCAUGAACCACAGAAACUUCAGCUUACCAAAUUGUAGGACCAGACAUUGUGAGAAAGUUUGAUUGCAUUCAAGAGCUGCCAGAGCUAAAGCUAGAAAAGAAACUAAACAACUUUUUCUCAUGAUCUGCUUAAUUGAUCUUCACAUUGAAUUGUCAACCUGUAUGCUACAUUGUAUAAUGACGUUGAGCAAAUAAAGAUACUGCAGUCAGCAUUACAACCUUCAUUAAACAGAAUGAAUUGGUGUUACAGAAAUGGAUAACACAUGGAGACAAACACUUUCAGACUACUGAAACUACACAUUGUUUGAGACUAUGAGAAUGGCUUAUUUCCAUGAUGGAACUCAUACCACAAAGAAAGAACUUGCUUUAUCUUAUUUCUUAUAACUAGUCCUCAAAGACAUACCCAAGUAAACUACAUCAGGAAAGAAAGCAAACAAAGUUGAUUCAGGAUUUAGAAUUGAAUGUUUUUAUGUCAACAGUGUGUGAAAACUGCGGAAAAUAGGAUUUUAAUUUCAAGGAUUUGAUUUAGUAUGUCAAGGAGUGAUUUGUUUUUAAUUCAUCACACAAGUUAUUGACAAUGCUCUAAAAUAUAAAUAGGAUGUGUAAAUACAGACUUUCAUACCUAACUAAAAUAAUGUUGAACUCAACAGAAUAAACAAACUAGCAUCUGUUGUAUAAUAUAUUAGUUGUUUUAUCAAACUUUGUCAGUUUUGUUACAUUACUUAUCAUUGAUAGAAUAUAUUAUCUAAUAACUCUUUACAGUGUGUCAAGUACUCAUCAUUAUAAGCUAUUUUGAAAUAAUUACAGGACUGAUAUUUUA
rnacentral:lncRNA from 1 species